UAGGGAAUCUUCCGCAAUGGGCGAAAGCCUGACGGAGCAACGCCGCGUGAGUGAUGAAGGUCUUCGGAUCGUAAAACUCUGUUAUUAGGGAAGAACAAAUGUGUAAGUAACUAUGCACGUCUUGACGGUACCUAAUCAGAAAGCCACGGCUAACUACGUGCCAGCAGCCGCGGUAAUACGUAGGUGGCAAGCGUUAUCCGGAAUUAUUGGGCGUAAAGCGCGCGUAGGCGGUUUUUUAAGUCUGAUGUGAAAGCCCACGGCUCAACCGUGGAGGGUCAUUGGAAACUGGAAAACUGGAGUGCAGAAGAGGAAAGGGGAAUUCCAGGUGUAGCGGUGAGUUGCGCAGAGAUAUGGGGGAACACCAGUGGCGAGGGCGACUUUCUGGUCUGUAACUGACGCUGAUGUGCGAAAGCGUGGGGAUCAAACAGG
rnacentral:rRNA from 1 species